AACAAUGGACACCUGGGAACCAUAGAGGAAGGGGAGUGAAAAGCCUGCAUCUGUGAAAGGAAGGGUGAGUAACAGGACAAGAUUAAUUGCCACAGGAGAAGAAGGUUCAGCUGAAUCACGUAACUCGCGCAAUGAAUGUGGGGGUUUCUCUCAAACUACAAGGGUGAACAUUGCAUGUGUGGUGGACCCUUAUGAGGUCAUUAUACCUCCCAAAUUUCAAGCAGAAGUUUUCUUCCUCUCUGGAAGCCCUGCCCGCCUGCCAAUCAGCUGAGAGGCAGGGAGAGAAGGAGCUGUGUCAUAGUUUGUAGGCAGCUCCAAUCCUAGGCCAGAGGGCAAGGAAGAACCUCAAGACCCUCCUGUUUUCUCAGGCUUUUAAUUAGAAUCAAUUUAAAUAAUUUAAAAAAAAACUUGUUUUAAUAACUAUUUUAUUCUAUUGUUUUUAUUGUGACUUUUGUAUUGUAUCGUGACUACUGUAUUUUAAUUUGUGACUUUUAAAUAUUUUAAAUUUUGUACACUGCCUAGAGAUAUACACAUCAGGUGGUACAGAAAAAUAAAUGUAAAUAAAUAAAUAAAUAAUAUUUUCAUCAUAUUA